rnacentral:rRNA from 1 species
UACGAAGGGGGCUAGCGUUGCUCGGAAUCACUGGGCGUAAAGGGUGCGUAGGCGGGUCUUUUAAGUCAGGGGUGAAAUCCUGGAGCUCAACUCCAGAACUGCCUUUGAUACUGAGGAUCUUGAGUUCGGGAGAGGUGAGUGGAACUGCGAGUGUAGGAGGUGAAAUUCGUAGAUAUUACGCAAGAACACCAGUGGCGAAGGCGGCUCACUGGCCCGAUACUGACGCUGAGGCACGGAAAGCGAUGGGGAGCAAACAGGG